AUUGAACGCUGGCGGCAGGCCUAACACAUGCAAGUCGAGCGGUUGAGGGGAGCUUGCUCCCUGAUUCAGCGGCGGACGGGUGAGUAAUGCCUAGGAAUCUGCCUAUUAGUGGGGGACAACGUUUCGAAAGGAACGCUAAUACCGCAUACGUCCUACGGGAGAAAGCAGGGGACCUUCGGGCCUUGCGCUAAUAGAUGAGCCUAGGUCGGAUUAGCUUGUUGGUGAGGUAAUGGCUCACCAAGGGGACGAUCCGUAACUGGUCUGAGAGGAUGAUCAGUCAGACUGGAACUGGGACACGGUCCAGACUCCUACGGGAGGCAGCAGUGGGGAAUAUUGGACAAUGGGCGAAAGCCUGAUCCAGCCAUGCCGCGUGUGUGAAGAAGGUCUUCGGAUUGUAAAGCACCUUAAGUUGGGAGGAAGGGUUGUAGAUUAAUACUCUGCAAUUUUGACGUUACCGACAGAAUAAGCACCGGCUAACUCUGUGCCAGCCGCCGCAGUAA
rnacentral:rRNA from 1 species